rnacentral:rRNA from 1 species
CCUUGUAAACACCGCCCGUCACACCAUGGGAGUCAGUUGCUCCAGAAACGGCUGCGCUAACCCGCAAGGGGGCAGGUCUUUAAGGAGUGACUGGUAACUGGGGUG